AGGUGCUGCAUGGUUGUCGUCAGCUCGUGUCGUGAGAUGUUGGGUUAAGUCCCGCAACGAGCGCAACCCUUGUCUUUAGUUGCUACGCAAGAGCACUCUAAAGAGACUGCCGGUGACAAACCGGAGGAAGGUGGGGAUGACGUCAAGUCCUCAUGGCCCUUAUGGGUAGGGCUUCACACGUCAUACAAUGGUGCAUACAGAGGGUUGCCAACCCGCGAGGGGGAGCUAAUCUCAGAAAAUGCAUCGUAGUCCGGAUCGUAGUCUGCAACUCGACUACGUGAAGCUGGAAUCGCUAGUAAUCGCGGAUCAGCAUGUCGCGGUGAAUACGUUCCCGGGUCUUGUACACACCGCCCGUCACACCAUGGGAGUGGGUUUCACCAGAAGUAGUUAGCCUAACCGCAAGGGGGGCGAUUACCACGGUGGGGUUCAUGAGCUGGGGUGAAGUCGUAACAAGGUAUC
rnacentral:rRNA from 1 species